rnacentral:lncRNA from 1 species
CACUUUCCUUUCCCUCUAUUUCUCCUGAUUGUCUCUCUCAAAAGCCAUGGCCACGCUGGCAAAGAUAACUGGUCAAUUCACUGCCUCAGUUGGCCCAGCCACAGAAUGGGGAGAACAUGCCCACCCUGCGAGCCUGUGGCGAAGGACUGGCACACAACAGAUGCUCCACGAUAUUUGGUGAGAAAAUGGAUGAGACACUCGUAGCUCUCCAAAUGUUCUGCUGCCUGAGAAUUUAUUUCCUGGUGCCCAUUGGUCAGGACCUGCCUUCAGGUAGGACCUGCCUCGGGGCACAGGUGUGCUUCCUCACUCAGGCAGGUGGGACGCCUCCAGACACCUCCCCGGUCUGACUCAGC